rnacentral:tRNA from 1 species
GGGGUUGUGGCGGAAUCGGCAGACGCAGCUGACUUAAAAUCAGCCGGGGAAACCCGUGUGGGUUCGAGUCCCACCGGCCCUA